rnacentral:rRNA from 1 species
UCGCGGCCUAUCAGCUUGUUGGUGAGGUAAUGGCUCACCAAGGCGACGACGGGUAGCCGGCCUGAGAGGGCGACCGGCCACACUGGGACUGAGACACGGCCCAGACUCCUACGGGAGGCAGCAGUGGGGAAUAUUGCACAAUGGGCGAAAGCCUGACGCAGCGACGCCGCGUGGGGGAUGACGGCCUUCGGGUUGUAAACCUCUUUCAGCAGGGACGAAGCGAAAGUGACGGUACCUGCAGAAGAAGCACCGGCCAACUACGUGCCAGCAGCCGCGGUAAUACGUAGGGUGCAAGCGUUGUCCGGAAUUAUUGGGCGUAAAGAGCUUGUAGGCGGUUUGUCGCGUCUGCCGUGAAAAUCCGGGGCUCAACUCCGGACUUGCGGUGGGUACGGGCAGACUAGAGUGUGGUAGGGGAGACUGGAAUUCCUGGUGUAGCGGUGAAAUGCGCAGAUAUCAGGAGGAACACCGAUGGCGAAGGCAGGUCUCUGGGCAGUAACUGACGCUGAGGAGCGAAAGCGUGGGGAGCGAACAGGAUUAGAUACCCUGGUAGUCCACGCCGUAAACGGUGGGUACUAGAUGUGGGAUUCCUUCCUUGGGUUCCGUGUCGUAGCUAACGCAUUAAGUACCCCGCCUGGGGAGUACGG